UACGGAGGGGGCUAGCGUUGUUCGGAAUUACUGGGCGUAAAGCGCACGUAGGCGGAUUUUUAAGUCAGGGGUGAAAUCCCGGGGCUCAACUCCGGAACUGCCUUUGAUACUGCAAAUCUCGAGUCCGGAAGAGGUGAGUGGAAUUCCUAGUGUAGAGGUGAAAUUCGUAGAUAUUAGGAAGAACACCAGUGGCGAAGGCGGCUCACUGGUCCGGUACUGACGCUGAGGUGCGAAAGCGUGGGGAGCAAACAGG
rnacentral:rRNA from 1 species